rnacentral:rRNA from 1 species
GACAAUAAAGACUAGUGUUAUUCAUCUUUAUUAGGUUUAAAGGGUUCCUAGACAGUUUGUAUAUAGAUAGUUGAUAGUUAUCACUAUAAUUUACAGACUAGAGUUUGACGUAAGAGAUUAUUUAGUACUUAAAGUGGAGUGAUAGAAUACUACGAUACUUUCGGGACUGAUAAAGGUGCAGACAAUACUUUAUAUCAACUGACGUCGAGGAAGAAGGCUUGGAGAUCGAAUAGG